GAGUGUCAAAAGGGCGCGAGGGAAGAGAAGAAUCUAAAGAAGCAGCACGAGCAGCUUUUUCCGUUCUCACUUACAAUAUUUCAACAAAGCACUAAGCACUAUUCUCGUGAUACAGAGGGAGAGAGAGAGAAAUCAAAAGCAAAACCAAGCAGAGCUGCUGAAGGAGGAAGGGGUGUUUGCUGGGGAAAAAUGACCGCCGGUGGAUCCUCAGGGAGGUUGCCGACGUGGAAGGAGAGAGAGAAUAACAAGAGAAGAGAGAGGAGGAGAAGAGCUAUAGCUGCUAAGAUUUAUGCAGGGCUUAGAGCUCAGGGGAACUUUAAGCUUCCUAAACACUGUGAUAAUAAUG
rnacentral:misc_RNA from 1 species